rfam:Camelus ferus unplaced genomic scaffold scaffold285, whole genome shotgun sequence.
GGAGGGGGCAGCUCAGUGGGAGAGUGUGUGCCUAGUGUGCACGAGGUCCUGGGUUCCAUCCCCAGUACCUCCA